AAGUUUUUGAAACGCCCUCGAAAAAUGUCUUGAUAUGGACAUUAAAACUUCAACCUGAGUGGUCUAGUAUCUAGUAGAUAAGUUGUGAAGUUGACCAAAAAUCUAACGGUCAGGGGUACGAAUCCGAGAAGAUUCGAUAAUUUUCAUUUUAUUGAAUCGCGCUUCGGAAAACCUGUAUUUAUCGCUCUACACAACGAGAUCAUAUGGGUAUACAUCUGAUUCUGAAUCAUAACUGCGUACGUCUUCAUUCGACUACUGGAUUUGUCAUUUCACGGAUAAACAAUUCAGUUUUCAUCUAGCCCGCUGUUAGUAAAGAUGGAGUGAUGAACGUUGCAUAGAAGGACAUCUGACAGCUGGGGUUCGAAUCCGUGGAGCUUAAAUAUUUUCGAUUCAAUUUAUUAAUUCGCCUUUCGGAAAACCCGUUUUAAUCACUUUCCACCUUGUUUCCACGACUAGUUGAGGUGAGUGUACAUCUUAAUCAUAUUUACGUACGUCUUCAAUCGACUACUGACUCGUCAUUCCACUGAUAAAUAAGUCAGUUUUCAUUGAAAUUAGUCAGUUUUCAUCCAGCGGUCUAUGAGUUAAGAUUGACGCGAGAAAAUUUGUAACCUAGUGUUUUUGAUUGUCGCAUGAACACUGCAAUGUAUAGUACGAAGUACUAAUGUUGAAUGGUUUAGUGAACUAUCUGUCGAAAUGCAAGGAUUAUAAUUUUUGGAAACAAAUAUAUGAAUCAAUAAAUUCUUUGAAAACGACUGAAGAAUGAUGUCAGAAAGCAUUAUACGAAAACAAUCGGAAUGCUACAGCAAAGCGAAACUAACGUAGUGUACCUACAGUGUGGCCUAAAUCAAAUAUUGUUUAUACCUACUUUUCAUCGACUAAUAUGUAAUUGUUAUUUCUGUAAGAUAUUCUGUUGAAAUAUCGACUUUAACUGUUGGCAAAUUAUUGAUGUACAUAAAAUUAGUAAUUUUUUGAGAUGUAAAUGAUACAAAGAUUAUACGCUGAAUAAACUACAAAUGAGGUUCUGUCACUUUAUCGAAAUGCGAAUUAUUAUUUGUAAUUGGAAGCUGAAAAAAAGGAAAAAGAAGAAAAAAUUUAAGAAAACAAAAAAAAAAUACAACAAAAAAGAUAAAAAAAAAAGAAUAAAAAAAAAGGAUUCUAAAGCUUUCAAUUCCAAUGAAGAGACAGUUUAUGAGUGUAUUUUGUCUUAAGCAGAAUGCAAUUCAAGUUCUCAUCGGUAAUAAUAAAUUAAAUCUCAUUUGUCAGUUCUUCAGUGCUUUUAACUCUGAAUUAGCCUUGUUUUCCAUCGUUGAAGAAAAUCGUUCCUAUUAUUAAUUAUUUUAUGUAUUCUGAUCGAACCGCGUUUUCAUAUCUUUACGUCGAUAUUUUGCCAAACAGUUGAUCGAUAUAAAAGCAGGAUAUAAAAUCUCAUUGCGAUUUGUCAUUCAUUAAAUGAAUUAAGUUAGAAAUAUUCGUACUUAUUGUAAUAUUUAUAGAUUCGAAUAAUAGGUUUGUGAAAUAUUGUUAUAAUGUUAUAUUAUUUAUUCGUUAUAUCUUAUCUAUGAAUAUUUUAAAAUAUAAAACAAUAUGUAACAUGAA